rnacentral:rRNA from 1 species
GAGGAAUAUUGCGCAAUGGAGGCAACUCUGACGCAGCCAUGCCGCGUGCAGGAAGAAGGCGCUACGCGUUGUAAACUGCUUUUAUCCGGGAAGAAACCCCAGGACGUGUCCUGGGUUGACGGUACCGGAGGAAUAAGCACCGGCUAACUUCGUGCCAGCAGCCGCGGUAAUACGAAGGGUGCAAGCGUUAUCCGGAUUCAUUGGGUUUAAAGGGUGCGUAGGCGGAACAAUAAGUCAGCGGUGAAAGCCCGUAGCUUAACUACGGAAUUGCCGUUGAUACUGUUGUUCUUGAGUACGCUUGACGUGGGCGGAAUGUGCCGUGUAGCGGUGAAAUGCUUAGAUAUGGCACAGAACACCGAUAGUGAAGACAGCUCACGAAGGCGAAACUGACGCUGAGGCACGAAAGCGUGGGGAUCAAACAGGAUUAGAUACCCUGGUAGUCCACGCCGUAAACGAUGAUCACUCGUGAUUGGCGAUAUACGGUCAGUCACCUAGCGAAAGCGUUAAGUGAUCCACCUGGGGAGUAC